rnacentral:lncRNA from 1 species
GGUGGAAACUCCUCCUCCACUCCGCCCCGAGGCAGUCAGGACUCGGCUAGCCGCGCGUCUCCGCCCGCCCGAGCGUUUCCAUAAAUCAGGCCCCUGGCAGGCUGCUAAUGAGCUCAGGGCGAAAAGAAUAGGAAGAGGGAGAGUCCAGUAGUGCUCGGUGGGGUGGGGGGGGGGUGGGAGCGCAGUAGGUGGGAGAUCAGAAUUUCCCCAGGACCUGCGGGCCACUGCCUGGGGCACCUCAACAGCCCCCCGCGGAGGCCACUGCAGAUCACUUUCCCCCAGCCGGGGCCUCCGAGCUGGGGCCUCCAGAUCACAUGCCUCCCGCGCUGCGCGCACCCGGGUGUCGGACCUGGCCCGCCCACCCACGCCGAGGCCCCCUCUCCCACUUGGCUGAGCAAGCCCUGCGUUAAUUAAAUCUCCCCUCGCCCCCUGCAAUUUCGGAAGACUUUCAAAACUCAUCCCCAAGUGUUUCCUCCUUAAGCCUGAAGCCUGCGCUUGGAAGAGCCGCCAGGAAAAGAGGGACCUGGGUCUGGUAGGAGGGUCGGUCACCUCAAGGCUUUGGGGUAACAGCCCCCCCCCAAGGAUUUUGGGUUGUGGGAUGGGACGCUGUAACCCUACUCCUCCUCCCCCAGUGAAAAGGCAAGACGGGGUCAAUCAAGAUCAGAAAUAACACUAAAGUUGGAUUAUUGAUUUCCAUGUAAAUCCGGAGCAGAGGACGCGGCGAAUUAGGCAGUGGAGUCCGCUCCGUCAAUGAAGGGACUAAGGUUUCGUGGACAAUAAUGUGGCAAUUGUUGAUGGUUUGUGACCCAUAAAAUGUGGAGGUGACUGUUCUGGCUUUGGUGGACAGAAACGGAAAAGUUUAAGAGUUGCACUGACUGGUUUUACAAGUUCAAAUCCUUGGCUCCUCCAGCGUCUGUCGUUUGGGGCCGCGGCUACGAGCGCCCCGGAUUUGAGGCGCGGCGGGAGGACCCCGCAGGUCGCCGGGCGGUGGGACAGGCCCCAGCUGCUGCAGCUCUGAUCGUGCCGAGCAGAGAGGGAGAACUCGGCCGCGCCCUGGGUUUGGUGAUUCUGGAAGGAAGGCGGAGAAAAGUGGAGUCGGCGUGCCCCUCAAGUCCCAUAUUUAGAGCUUUCGCAGGCACCCAAGUGGCCAAUUCCGGCCGCAGAACUGCCUGCCCUGGAGGCUUUGGAAAGGGCGGCCCUCUGUGUGCAGGGCGGCCUCUACCCUCAAAAUAUGCUUCUCCAUCCCUCCUCCUCCCCCAGAACCACAGAACAGGCAUAGUCAGCAGGUUCCAAGUACAACUUUUAAAAACUCGAGUAGAGAUGCAAACGAAGGGGAACUUUCUCUUUACAGAAGGGCCGCCCACAGGGCCCUCAAUCUCGCUCUUUCUCUGUCUCCCACCGUGGACCAAGCCCCCCUGCUGGGCUUUAAAAGCGAGGUUUAGUGCAGUGAAUAUACUACGGGGCCUUUUCUGGCACCCGGAGAAGCGCCUGGAGUGAAAAGGGGCCGGGAGGAUAACCAGAGGAAGAGGGGAGAGUCAGGAAGGCCGAAGAGGGGGACUCUGCCUCCUCCGGGCAUGAGCCGCGCCCGGGCCCAGCGGGGAGGUGGCGCAAUGCGGGUCAGGGUUCGGCUGACACCGACGCCACCGCCGGCCUGCUGAGUGCCCGGGAUUUCCCCUCAACCAGGCCCGAGAGGGAUUCCAGGCUCCUCGGGUGGAAUGUGGGAGGUCUUGGGGGUAAUCCUUCCUGCCGAAUGCAGAGCUGGCAGGAGCCUCCGUAAAAAAACAAAAAAUCAAAAAAACCCCACACCAAUAGCGAAGCGGUCUUGAGGGCUGCCCGCUUUGCCCGCAAUUAGAGGGGUUUUCUCGGACCAUGAGGGGAGGUGAAACCUAUGAAACUCGGACCCCGCCAGGAACCCGCACUGAAUGUCCUUUCUGCAACCACUUCACCAGGAACUCCAGGGGCCGGGACAAGGGUGACGACUCCAAAUCACAGGCUGCCGCUGACCUCUGGUUAUACUGAUGGGUCCUCGUUUCCUACCAUCGCCAGCCCCAGGAGUUAAGGACACGCGAGUAACCUUCCUGUCGCUGUCCCGUUCUCGCCUUACAAAAAAUAAAUAAAUAAAAAAGAGCCCAGCGGAGAAUUGUAGACUAGAGGUCGGAGGCUUCACGGAGCUGGAGAGGAACUCGCGUCUCUAGUUUUUAAAGCAAACAAAGCCGAAAACAGCCUAACGCCUCUGGCUGCCCAUGGGCCAGAGCUCAGUGCGUCUUGGGCAGUGCGGGCGCCGAGCACUCUGCUCCAGGAUCAUCUCGGGCCAAACCCUGGGCUGGGCCCCGCGCGCCUCUGCCUGGCUGGCAUCGAGUUAGGAGACCCUGUUUGCACCCCUCUUUGCAGCUGCUGAGCCUCCUCCGGCCAGGCUGGCCCUGGGGGCGCCGCCCAGGUCAGGGAAGGUGUGGGGCUCAGGUGGAGAACUCAGGGCCACUGGCGGCUGGGCGGCCACGUCCGGAACCCCGUCCCAACGCCUAUCUCGCGCGCUCUGCCCUCUCCAGGAGUAAAGCACUAAAACAUCCCCGGGUCUAGCGAGUGCAGGAUAGGGCGAAGCGGAGCCACCGGAGGCAUCUUCCGGCUGCGUUACCACUGGAGCGGAAAACUGAGCAUUUUCAGCGUUGGAAACGUCCCGUGGCUGCUGGAGGAGGCCCGCCCCGCAGGGUCGGCGAGAAAGUACUCGAAUUCCCACGCUGCCAUCUUGGCCUCUUUUUAAACAACAUCAUGAAACUAAAAACACCAAUCGAGGCAACGCGUUUCUUUCCGUUUUAGUACGACAUAAAUAAAAUGCGCUUUUAAGCCAUCUUACUCUCUAACUUCAAGGGAGCCAAUGUUAAUUUUACCUUUAUUUAAAUGAUUGCCAAGGCUGACUUGUGAGGGAUUCUCCCCCUCCUCCAUCCCUCCCUCCAGAUGUUGGCAUACGGAGUAUAGUAAUAAUUUCCCACUAUCCUGGAAAGCAAGCAGCUCUUUCUGGCCUCGUCCUCCCCCCACAACACCUUACCUCGUUUUUUGUGGAUAUUGUUAAUUUCACGGAACGCUAUUUAAAGUUUAGCAUGAAAUGCACGUGCCACGACACGAAUGGCCAGUGUGCUGUUACCUCCAAGGAACUCCAAGUGCGGCGCACUAGGAACAGACCCGACUUUUCCGUGGGUGCCUCCAGACGAUGCCACAGGAGAUUUAGUGGGCACCAUCUCCUGGUAGGAGGCUCCCUGACCUAAGCGCAGCCAUGUACCCAUGCACGCCCAAGUGGCCACAUUCCCAGGCGGGCUUUGCCACUGGGGACUAAAACUCUGUUCCUCGGAGGCAACAGCUAGAGCGGUGGAAGGAAACGCGAGGAACUUAGGGCGAUCUUUUUCACGCCACGUCCAGUUUUUAGGAUCUCGUGCCAAUUUCUCAGUGUGUUUCUGUCCAGAUAGACUAAGCUCUUUGGAGUUAAUUAACCUGAGGUCCAGCUACAAUUAAUAGAGAGCGAAGAAAAGACGGAAAGAGGGGGACUUUGUAGGAAGAGCGAGGAAUAAAAAAAAAAAA